rnacentral:rRNA from 1 species
GACGAACGCUGGCGGCGUGCUUAACACAUGCAAGUUGAGCGACGGUCAUAUGAAGUGGUAACACGGAGUGUGAUACGGAGCAGCGGACGGGUGAGUACAACAUGAGAAGCUAUCCUUCAACGGGGGACAACGUUUAGAAAUGGACGCUAAUACCCCAUAAGCCGAGAGGUUAAAGCGGAGACGCGAUGGAGGAGGUGCUCGUGGCCUAUCAGCUAGUUGGUGAGGUAACGGCUCACCAAGGCGACGACGGGUAGCCGGCCUGAGAGGGCGAACGGCCACACUGGAACUGAGAUACGGUCCAGACUCCUACGGGAGGCAGCAGUGGGGAAUAUUGGGCAAUGGGAGAAAUCCUGACCCAGCAACGCCGCGUGAACGAAGAAGGCCCUUGGGUCGUAAAGUUCUUUUAUAUGGGAAGAAGAAGAUGACGGUACCAUAUGAAUAAGCCCCGGCUAACUACGUGCCAGCAGCCGCAGUAAAAC